rfam:Salmo salar isolate Sally breed double haploid chromosome ssa20, whole genome shotgun sequence.
UGCAUUCACUACUGUAAGUCGCUCUGGAUAAGAGCGUCUGGUAAAUGUGUGUUU